rnacentral:rRNA from 1 species
GACGAACGCUGGCGGCGUGCUUAACACAUGCAAGUCGAACGGAAAGGCCCUGCUUUUGUGGGGUGCUCGAGUGGCGAACGGGUGAGUAACACGUGAGUAACCUGCCCUUGACUUUGGGAUAACUUCAGGAAACUGGGGCUAAUACCGGAUAGGAGCUCCUGCUGCAUGGUGGGGGUUGGAAAGUUUCGGCGGUUGGGGAUGGACUCGCGGCUUAUCAGCUUGUUGGUGGGGUAGUGGCUUACCAAGCCUUUGACGGGUAGCCGGCCUGAGAGGGUGGCCGGCCACAUUGGGACUGAGAUACGGCCCAGACUCCUACGGGAGGCAGCAGUGGGGAAUAUUGCACAAUGGGCGGAAGCCUGAUGCAGCAACGCCGCGUGCGGGAUGACGGCCUUCGGGUUGUAAACCGCUUUCGCCUGUGACGAAGCGUGAGUGACGGUAAUGGGUAAAGAAGCACCGGCUAACUACGUG